GUGGACAGAGGCAGGCAGGGGACAGAAAAACGAGGUGCUCCUCCAGUCCCAAAAGGCCUUGCCCAGCAGCCGAGCCCAGGAGAAACAAGCCUAACAAAUACAGGGCCGGCGCCAGCUGCAGAGAGUUCUCCCUGACUGCCAGCUACACUGAACCACAGGAAAGAGAACGAAACUCUUCCACAUUCUUUUCUGAAGCCAGACACCAAAACACAACAAAGACAGCAUUCGUG
rnacentral:lncRNA from 1 species